UACGUAGGAGGCGAGCGUUGUCCGGAGUUACUGGGCGUAAAGGGUGCGUAGGCGGCCGCGCGCGUGGAGGGUGAAAUCUCUCGGCUUACCCGGGAGGGGGCUUUCCAGACGGCGUGGCUUGAGGGACGGAGAGGGGCGUGGAAUUCCGGGUGGUGCGGUGAAAUGCGUAGAGAUCCGGAGGAACACCGACGGCGUAGGCAGCGCCCUGGCCGUUUCCUGACGCUGAAGCACGAAAGCUGGGGGAGCAAACAGG
rnacentral:rRNA from 1 species